GGCCUACCAUGGUGGUAACGGGUAACGGGGUGUUAGGGCACGACACCGGAGAGGGAGCCUGAGAAACGGCUACCACACCCAAGGUUGGCAGCAGGCGCGCAAAUUACCCAAUCCCGACACGGGGAGGUAGUGACAAUAAAUAACAAUACGGGGUUCUUUCGGAUCUCGUAAUUGGAAUGAGUACAAUUUAAAUCUCUUAACGAGGAACAAUUGGAGGGCAAGUCUGGUGCCAGCAGCCGCGGUAAUUCCAGCUCCAAUAGCGUAUAUUAAAGUUGCUGCAGUUAAAAAGCUCGUAGUUGAAUUUCGGGACCAAUAUGUCGGUCGUGCUUCGGUACGUACUGUCAUUAUUGGUUUCUCCCUUCUGAAGAACCUUGAUGUCAUUAAUUUGGUGUCUUGGGGAAUCAGGACUGUUACUUUGAAAAAAUUAGAGUGUUUAAAGCAGGCUCGCGCUUGAAUACAUUAGCAUGGAAUAAUGAAAUAGGACGUUUGAUUCUAUUUUGUUGGUUUCUAGGAUCGACGUAAUGAUUAAUAGGGAUAGUUGGGGGCAUUAGUAUUCAAUUGUCAGAGGUGAAAUUCUUGGAUUUAUUGAAGACUAACUACUGCGAAAGCAUUUGCCAAGGAUGUUUUCAUUAAUCAAGAACGAAAGUUAGGGGAUCGAAGACGAUCAGAUACCGUCGUAGUCUUAACCAUAAACUAUGCCGACUAGGGAUCGGAUGAUGUUAAUUUUUUAAUGACUCAUUCGGCGCCUUACG
rnacentral:rRNA from 1 species